GGCUGGUCCAAAGGUAGUGAGUUAUCUCAAUUGAUUUUUGAGUUAUAGAUCAAACUCCUUUUUCUGCUUUAUUCUCCCUUCUCACUACUACACUUGACUAGUCUAAA
ensembl:Y_RNA Y_RNA Y RNA